rnacentral:misc_RNA from 1 species
GCAUAACAUGAUCCCGUAGUAUACUUAAUGAAUUACCGACUCUGUCUACCGAUAACCCAUUAAAUACAUUACAAUGGAUUUUAAAACAAUUUUCUUACUUUUUAAAAGUGGUGAGCUUUUCUAGCAGGUAUUAAAAAAUUUACUUGAAGUUUAAAGAUUUGAUAAAAUUUUUGUCCAUUUUGAUUUUUCCACAAAUUUUGGAAUACUUUCGACAGAGUACCGGCUGUAUUUGAGAA